rnacentral:rRNA from 1 species
GAGUUUGAUCCUGGCUCAGGAUGAACGCUGGCGGCGUGCUUAACACAUGCAAGUCGAACGAACCUCCGGGUUAGUGGCGGACGGGUGAGUAACGCGUGGGAAUCUGCCCUCAGGAGGGGGAUAACGGCUGGAAACGGCCGCUAAUACCCCAUAUGCCGAGAGGUGAAAUGAAUUUCGCCUGAGGAUGAGCCCGCGUCUGAUUAGCUAGUUGGUGAGGUAAGAGCUCACCAAGGCAUCGAUCAGUAGCUGGUCUGAGAGGAUGAUCAGCCACACUGGGACUGAGACACGGCCCAGACUCCUACGGGAGGCAGCAGUGGGGAAUUUUCCGCAAUGGGCGAAAGCCUGACGGAGCAACGCCGCGUGAGGGAUGAAGGCCUCUGGGCUGUAAACCUCUUUUCUCAAGGAAGAAGAUCUGACGGUACUUGAGGAAUAAGCCACGGCUAAUUCCGUGCCAGCAGCCGCGGUAAUACGGGAGUGGCAAGCGUUAUCCGGAAUUAUUGGGCGUAAAGCGUCCGCAGGCGGCCCUUCAAGUCUGCUGUUAAAACGUGGAGCUUAACUCCAUCAUGGCAGUGGAAACUGUUGGGCUUGAGUGUGGUAGGGGCAGAGGGAAUUCCCGGUGUAGCGGUGAAAUGCGUAGAUAUCGGGAAGAACACCAGUGGCGAAGGCGCUCUGCUGGGCCAUAACUGACGCUCAUGGACGAAAGCCAGGGGAGCGAAAGGGAUUAGAUACCCCUGUAGUCCUGGCCGUAAACGAUGAACACUAGGUGUCGGGGGAAUCGACCCCCUCGGUGUCGUAGCCAACGCGUUAAGUGUUCCGCCUGGGGAGUACGCACGCAAGUGUGAAACUCAAGGAAUUGACGGGGGCCCGCACAAGCGGUGGAGUAUGUGGUUUAAUUCGAUGCAACGCGAAGAACCUUACCAGGUUUGACAUCCUGCGAACCUCUUGGAAA